rnacentral:lncRNA from 1 species
CUCCCCCAUAUAGGGUAACGCUAGCAGGUUCGGGAGAUUAGAAUGAGGACAAAAAAAUUUUUUUUAAGAUUUUAUUUAUUUAGAGAGAGAGCAUGAGCAGGGGAGGGCCAAAGGGACAGCGAGAAGCAGGCUCCCCCCGAGAGGGAGCCCAACAUGGAGCUGGAUCCCAGGACUCCGGAUCAUGACCCGAGCCAAAAGCAGGUGCUAAAGUGACUGAGCCACCCAGCCAUCCCCGAGUGUGUACAGAGCUUUUUGGUUCAGUCUACCGCAACCACCCGGUCCCCAAAGGCUCUGGCACAGCAGUGUUUACGCGUAAGUUGAACUGAGGGGUCAAGUACACACACAUAACGGCGGAGGUUGUGAGCACGUAGCUGGGGGACAAUUACGCAGGGUUCACACCCAGCCCGUAGGACUCCAGAGUUCAUGCUUUUAAAUCACUAGUCAGUAUUGUCACCUUCUUGCCCUUUUAUGUGUGAGCUGUCAUUGUCAAUAUGUUCAAAGUCAGCAGUUAUGGAAAGGAAGCCCGGGCUAUGGGGGCGCCAGCAGGCCCGGCCUUGGUUUGGCGGGGUUCUUUAAAGAUUUUAUUUAUUUACUCAUGAGAGACAGAGAGAGGCAGAGACACAGGCAGAGGGAGAAGCAGGCUCCACGCAGGAAGCCUGAUGUGGGACUCGAUCCCGAGACUCCGGGACCACACCCUGGGCUGAAAGCAGGAACCAAACCGCUGAGCCAUCCAGGGAUCCCUGGUUUGGCGGGGUUUGCAGGACUAAGAAGCCACCACCACUUGCAGNACCCCCCCCCCCCCCCCCGCCGCCUGCACAAGUUGGUGCAGAGACAACUGCAGGCGAGUAGCCAGGAGGCUGAAUUCAUCCUUGCUGCCUUUUUUCAAUUCGCAGUUCAGGGUCAGCGUCUCAGUCUGGCAGGUAAAGGUGACCCUGGCCAUCAUCUGCCUUCCUGGGACUCCCAGUGGAAAAGCGACAGAACCCAAAGUCACAGUGGAAGUGGGACCCACGGCGGUAGGACACUGGCACCUGCCCACCCGGCCAUGUGAGAAUCGUGAAGUGACAACACCUCUGGAGGCAUCGAUUUCUCUGUUGCUCUCAACACUAGAGUUCUGGCCCUGCUCCUCUUGCUGAGUCAACGAGAAAGUCUUCAUGGAAAUGAAAAUGGUAGAUUCUGAAAACAUUGAUUGAAUUGCAGAUUAAGUUAAUUUAAAAUAAAUUAUAAUUAAGGAAGGAUGCUUUUAUUUUA